rnacentral:rRNA from 1 species
CGGAUGAGUAACACGUAUCCAACCUGCCGUCUACUCUUGGACAGCCUUCUGAAAGGAAGAUUAAUACAAGAUGGCAUCAUGAGUCCGCAUGUUCACAUGAUUAAAGGUAUUCCGGUAGACGAUGGGGAUGCGUUCCAUUAGAUAGUAGGCGGGGUAACGGCCCACCUAGUCUUCGAUGGAUAGGGGUUCUGAGAGGAAGGUCCCCCACAUUGGAACUGAGACACGGUCCAA